CCCUUAGAUGUUCUGGGCCGCACGCGCGCUACACUGAUGCAUUCAACGAGUCUAAAACCUGCUCUGAUAGGGGUGGGUAAUCUUUUGAAUGUGCAUCGUGAUUGGGAUAGAUGAUUGCAAUUUUUCAUCUUCAACGAGGAAUGCCUAGUAAACGCAAGUCAUCAGCUUGCAUUGAUUACGUCCCUGCCCUUUGUACACACCGCCCGUCGCUCCUACCGAUUGAAUGAUCCGAUGAAUAUCAUGGAUUGAGGAUGCAAGUAGGUUCACCUAUCUUCAUCUUCGAGAAGUGAAGUAAAUCUUAUCAUUUAGAGGAAGGAGAAGUCGUAACA
rnacentral:rRNA from 1 species